UGCUUGCUGCAAUGCUAUAUGCUGAGUUUGAAUAUAAGAAUCUCUCUUUAUAUGACGAUUUUCAAGCAUGCUUAGAUCCAUCCAGCUUGCUGUAGUUUAAUCAACUUCCCUCUUUCAUGUGAUAUUGUUUCUUUCUCUUAUAGGUUUUCUUAACGAAACAUUAUAGAAACAGACGACUAGGUGAUGCAGAAUUUGUUCUCGACUUUGAAGAAAUUUAUGUCAUUGACUCAAAAACUAAAUCCAUUACAAGAGCUAAAGUCUUGGUUACUGUGACAGGAGGGAGAAACAGAGAUAGGAGGAAUGAUCUUUUGAUCAUACGUGAUGGUGGAAACCUAUUCAAAAUUAUUGAUAAGAGUGAAAGGGAUGAUCCAACCACUGUCAUAGAGAGAGAAGAGUGGGCAAAGACCAGACAAGAGAUGGAGCAUCACCUUCGGAAGCUUCGAGACUUCAGUGUUUCAAAUUGGUUCUAAGAUUGCGUUAUCCAGGUUUAGAUUUCAAGUCGAAUGUCCAUGACAAGGUGGUAUGGAUGAAUUAUUUUACGCCCAAUAUUGUCUUCAACUCAAGUCAGAAAUGGGAGGCCCAUUCUCAUUUAAGCAAUAUACGAUAACUAAUUAGAAAAGUCUCGACUAUAUUAUUGUUGCACAAGAUGUAAUUACUACACUCAUCUGGUGUCUUUGGCUUGAUCAUCCUUUACUUUAAUCCUUCUAUAAUGACCUGAAAUGUAAUGAUAUGUCAAAGGAGUCAUUCAAUUCUUUAAAUUAAGUAUUAUUGAAGUACGUCGUAUUGUCAAUGAAAGCCUUUAGAAUGUCGAAUCAAGAGAUUAUGUUUUCUUAGAUGAAUCUUUCUACUUUAUUUUUUUGUUAUGAUUCUCAAGAGUUUGAUUCUGCCUACUUGUGAAAUAAUUUAUUCUAACUGUCA